rnacentral:tmRNA from 1 species
GGGGCCGAUUAGGAUUCGACGCCGGGAACGAAACUUUAGGUGCAUGCCGAGUUGGUAACAGAACUCGUAAAUCCACUGUUGCGACUUUUAUAGUUGCCAAUGACGAAACCUACGGAGCUGCUCUCGCUGCUUAAAUGCAGCUGAGAUGCUCUUCUGGCUACUUCGGUGCCAGCGAUUACUAAGGGAUGCCUGUACACCUGAACUGAUCGACAUAUAGACAGGAUCGCCGCCUAGGAUGUUGUGUACGAAGCGGCUAAAAAUCACACGACUCGCCCAAAGCACCCUGCCAGUCGGGUCGCCACGGGUUAACUUAAUAGACAUGGCUACGCAUGUAGUACCGACAGCGGAGUACUGGCGGACGGGGGUUCAAGUCCCCCCGGCUCCACCA